GAUGAAGAACGUAGCGAAAUGCGAUAAGUAAUGUGAAUUGCAGAAUUCAGUGAAUCAUCGAAUCUUUGAACGCACAUUGCGCCCAUUAGUAUUCUAGUGGGCAUGCCUGUUCGAGCGUCAUUAAGUCCACUUAAGCCCUGCUUAGUGUUGGGAGACUGCUCCAGCGGUGCUACCCUGUAGCUACCCUGCAGCUCCUCAAAGACAGCGGCGGAGUUGUGGUAUCCUCUGAGCUUAGUAACUUGUUCUAGCUUUCGAGUACACCACUUCCCCUGCCGUAAAACCCUUAAUUUUUAAUGGUUGACCUCGGAUCAGGUAGGAAUACCCGCUGAACUUAAGCAUAUCAUAAGCGGACGA
rnacentral:misc_RNA from 1 species